UGCUUUUGCCGGGAACAGAACAGGAAUGGAGUCUUAGAACUUACUCUGAGUCUUCGACAGCUCUGAAAAUAAGGCCCUAGGAGUCUCAAGCUGCACUCUCCAAAAAUGAAGGCUUGCAAAAUUACUGAAGGCUUCUGAAAAUGUUGGCCCUGAAGGUGUGCUGAUGGCUUCAGUUAGCACUUCAUGCUCUCCCCAUGGGUGUCUGCCUUCUAGCUUCACCACUGCUGGAUUGCUAGUCCUCACAGGCUCCUUCUCUGAGGCACUGGAACGUCCACUCUGCAUCUGUGCAAAAAAGGAAUGAAUUCCUCCGGACAGGGCCGGAUUAAUGCAGGGGCUUCGGGGCUGCAGCCCAGGGCCUCAGGUACCACAGCCAAUGGGAGCUGCUGGGGUGGUGCCUGUGGGCACGGGCAGUGUGCACCGCACAGAGCAGCCUGGUCCCUGUGCCUAGGGGUGGGACAUGUCGGCCACCUCGGGGAGCAGAGCUGCGCAGAGCCAGGGCAGGCAGGGAUCAUGCCUUAGCCCUGCUGUGCCGCCAACCAGGAGCCACCUGAGG